rnacentral:rRNA from 1 species
AACUAACGCUGGCGGCGUGCCUAACACAUGCAAGUCGUACGAGAAAGCCGGCCUCGGCUGGUGAGUAAAGUGGCGCACGGGUGAGUAACGCGUGGAUAAUCUGCCCUUAAGUGUGGAAUAACGUACCGAAAGGUGCGCUAAUACCGCAUAAUGCCUGGCAACACAAGUUGUCCGGCCAAAGAAGGCCUCUGUUUACAAGCUUUCGCUUCAGGAUGAGUCCGCGUACCAUUAGCUUGUUGGUGGGGUAAUGGCCUACCAAGGCUGCGAUGGUUAGCUGGUCUGAGAGGAUGAUCAGCCACACUAGAACUGAGACACGGUCCAGACUCCUACGGGAGGCAGCAGUGAGGAAUAUUGCGCAAUGGGGGCAACCCUGACGCAGCAACGCCGCGUGAGUGAGGAAGGUUUUCGGACUGUAAAGCUCUGUCGAGCGGGAAGAAGUGUACCAUGGCUAAUAUCCAUGAUAUUUGACGGUACCGCUAGAGG